CAAUCAAAGCAAUCCCAAUCAAAGCAAUCCCAAUCAAAUCAAAUCAACUCCAACCCAAUUGAAUUUUUCAAUUUACUUCAAAACGGACUUCGAAACUUUCCUUGCCUUCCGCAAUUUUUUCCAACACCUUUUGUUCCACCUCUCCAAUAACGCAACCUACCCUCAAAAACCCUGGUCAUCUCGAAAACACUGGUCAUCUCGGAACCAGCUACAUCUAACCCAUUAUUCAUUUCACCCACAAAGAUCGCACUCUUUUAAAGUAGCCCAACCAUUCACUGCAAAGGAACCCCUUUCAUCGCCGAAAGCUUCGUCAAUCGCAUCUACGCCUGAUUACGACAGUCCCUCGCCUUAUGAUCCCGUAAGCGAAUUUCGGUUUGCAUAGAUUGGAAAUUCAGUCACCGAUGAUUGGACAUGCCACUGUUGCACCUUUUCGCUUGAUAAGUCUCCGCGCUGAGGCGUACGUCAUGUUGACAUAAUAGAAAAGGGAGAAAUGGGUCAAAGGAAAGGAAGAGAGUGGGUCAUUUGAGAUACGCGCCUAUUGCAAUGUCCAAGAUCGACUAGCUAGCUGGCUAAGGGAAGAAAGAGCCGGGGAAGGGGGGUAGAGAGAUUUUUGAAAAGGUCAUCAUCAUCAUCAUCGGAAGCGGUAUGAAGGGACGUUACAUUGUAAGGGGAAUUGAUGAAAGAGGAAGAUCGUUUCCAACCACCAUACCUUUCUGUGAAUUUCUUAAAUAUAUUUCUUUUCUUUUUCUUUUUUAUUGCUCCAAAACAAAUGUGCGCAGUGACGUAGAUUGGACGAACUAGGAUGACAAGGCUUUUUGCCGGAAAUCCUGUUUUGAUACCGCUAAUCUACCAUGAAACCAGUAGAUGCAGGACGCUAUACACUGGACAUUGGCACUGGACACUGGACGCAGAUAUGGAAGGUUUGUUUAAAUUACAAUUGUAAAGUGACUAAUUCCAUUUUUUUUUUCUUUUUUCCAACGAAUUCAUCCAAGAAAGUAAAAACAAAAGUUAUACAUUGCAUUUUUUUCUCAUUUGACGAAUCCUUAAUUUAUUACAGCAUACUUCUGCACCCAUUAAAUUCCAACAAGUGUGCUUUAUGCGACAUUUUACAAUGUCUCAAUGUCACAUCUUUUUUGCAAAACCGCCCACACAACCCACACUAGCAACUAACUAACUUACCUUAGCUAUCUGCCUGUCUGCUGCCUGCCUUGUCUGGCUUAGAUGGUAACCGGAUGCGAUGCGGAGGAAAAAAACCUUUACAGAUACCGAGCCGAAGCAGUGUUUUGAUGUCGUCGUAAUCUAAAAAUAGUAAUAUGAUGUGGUUUCGAAAACAAACGACAUUAACGAGAGAUAUCAGCCUUUUCAGGGUUGAUGGGUAACCUGUGCAAUCUUAUCAUGAAUGUGACUUUUCUCAAAACUCAUCUGGUUCACCAGGUUCGGGAGAUGGAUCGACAGCAUCAUAUCAUUUUACGGGUCAAGAUAUGCGCGGAUCUUCUCGAUGGUAAAUUUAAGCUUGAAAACAUCUAGUGGGGCUUAUAAUAUUGUGCUACGAAAAGGACACCGUUAACUUGCCUCUCUCUUGCUUUGUGUUUUCCUCACAAUCCAUAUUUCUUCCUGUUGAUGUUGUCUUGCUUUACUAUUGCAUGAAUCCCAUUAGCAAUCACUCCUUUCCUACUACCGCAAAAAAUGGAUCCGCAUUACGUAGUUUACCGUUGCAAUCCAAACGAGGUGUGUGUGUGUCCAAGAUAAAGAUUAAAUUGGAGCACAUAGAGGCUGAAAGAAGCUAAUCAUCCAGAAAAGACACCUAAAAGGAGAAAUCAAACUAAUACAACAGGAGCGCUAUAAUAAUUAAACCAAAUUUUUAAUUAUGAACGCCGAUGAUAUUUAAAACGUUUAAAAAAAAUGUCUAAUUUAUUAUUUCAUAAGACAAGAUGUGAUAGGAAUCGCUGCUUUGUAAUUCACUUCUAUCACUCAUUGAGUAUCGCUUUAUCUAGGAUGUUUGUCCUUUAUAAAUCUUCUUAGGAAUUGCCUUUAUAUUUAAUUAAUUAAAUUUAUAUUAUACUGUUUUCAUAUCUAUCCAAGCUAUCUGAU
rnacentral:lncRNA from 1 species